CUCUUUUACAAUGCCAAUAUUUUCUUCAAUUUAUGUGCAAAUUACAAAUAUACAAGGAUAGAGAAAGAGCAAGUUUGUUCCAAAAAGUCUAUUUAUAUUUCAAAAUUAAAAGUAUUAUAUUCUUUUUCGACUAAACAUUCAUUAUAUCCAAAUAAAUGAUACUCUAUUCAGACAUACUGAACUUUUGACCGUAUAAGCAUUAAAAUAUUUUAAAGUUUCAGAGGCUAGCCUCUUCUUUCAACACAAUAGGGCCCCUGCCGGGAUUAGAAAUCCAGUAUUUAAAGAGUCCAAGCCUCCUUUCCAUGUACACAAGACAAAUCUGUACAAGGGAUGUGAAAUUACAAGGCAAAGGGCAAAUAAUGGAAACAGACUAUUUUUCAAGUGAAACAUUAGUGAAAAGUACUUCUAUAUAUGAGUGUGUAAAAUAUCCUAUCAUUAUUUCCAAGCUAAACCUUAUGCCCCAUUGUUCAGGAAUUCUCAUCCACGUUUGGAAAAUGAUCGCAUUUUCCAAAGUAACACGUUUGGCAAACUUUUUUUUUUUUUUUAAACUAAUAAAAUAAAAUAUAUAUUUUUUAAAUUUAACAUAGAAACUUCCAUGUUUUACAAUGUUCU